rnacentral:lncRNA from 1 species
UUUAGAGCAAAUAAACUGCAACUUUCUGGAAUAUAACAAUAAUAAAAGCACCACAGUAGCAACUAAAGGGUUUGAUUUCAGUCAAGGAAUAUAGCAUUACAUCAAUAGCAAAACAUGGUGAUAUUUGUGGAAAUAAAAUAACUCUAGGUGUUCUAUGAAUUCUGAAAGUCUGAAUCAACUCAUGUGCAACUUUUGACGAUGGUGCAAAUGGAGAGGCAUCACAAGAUUGGAUCCUUAUCCUGCUAUAUAACUGUAGUACAGUUAAAGCAAAUAAGCUAAGGAAUUGGACAGCAGGAUGAAGGUGCACCACACCAUCCAAUUCUGAAAAGGUGGCGGCUAAUGGUCUUCCUUGUUGAAUCCAUAAGGACUAUGCUUUUCUAUCCUUGAACUAAGCUGAAACUCGAGCUCUAAAAUCUGAACGAAAAAACUUGAUUUCUUGGAAGGAGGGUCACUGCUCCAAAUCGUGUUGCCUCGCCCGUACAUCACCGAAGCUGGGGCACACAUUGGAGCAGUGGCAUUUGCGACGCCCAGCAGCGGGGUCACAUCUCAUCCCCAUCAGCUCAAAUCAAAACAGAACGCAAAUUAGCCCAAACAGUUAGAAGACUUAUUUAAACCGCACAUGGUGCACUCAGACAUAAGAGAAGACCCAAGCAGAGCGAUCAAGCCAUGCAAUUCUAGCUAUUAAAAUACUAAUUAGUUAUUGUAUCUAGACGGACAGUCUUAUGUAAAACGUUUAGAUUUACGUAGUAGUUUGCAAGGAGCAUAUACAUACUAUUUUUCAAAUGGGGUGUAUACAAGUAUACAACUGAUACUACUUUAACUGAAAACAUCAGAGAGCAUGUUUUAAUUCAUUCAUGAUCUCUGCAUUUUAUUUAGAAACAAGCAUGCACCAAGAUACUCACAUAGAGAGCAGAAUCCUCUCUUUCACAGUACUAUUGUUUCAUCUAGCUCUAACAUAUCCUCUCUUUCUCCCUUUUAAUAAGUAGUAUAGUUGAUGCUAUACAGACUUAAGAAGUAAGUAGUUGAUGACAGAUACAAAUCGAUGACACUGUAGUAUGUACCUCAGGUCAGACGAAGUUUCGGCGGAUAGUAGAGUAUAUGCAGACAGAUUUCCGGCGAAGUCGGCGGUGUACAGCCACGACGCUGUCGGAAACUUGAGGCGUGAAGAUGAGCCAAAUAACUGCAGAUUAUUCCAGAGAGUUAGAACACGAAAAACUAUUUGACCUUGCAAUAGAAUAGAAAGGGUUCGGCGAUGUGCACAUCUCUCUCUGCUCUCUCUCUCUCUCUCUCUCUCUCUUUCUCUCUCUCUCUCUACCUCACCUCUUUUUUCACCACAAGUUACAAAACCAAAUAACUGAAUUUGUUGGCCCUGUACAUCAUUUAAAGAUUAAAAGAAACUCAAAUCCAAGAUCAGUUGUCGUUCAUGACCUCUGCAUUUUAUACAGAAACAAGAAUGCACCAAGAUACUCACAUAGAAAGCAGAAUCCUCUGUUUCACAGGGCUAUUGUUUCAUCUAUCUCUAACAUAUCAUCUAUUUCUCCCUUUUAAUAAGUAGUAUAGUUGACGACAUACAUACUUAAGAAGUAAGUAGUUGAUGAAAGAUACAAAUUGAUGACACUGUAGUAUGUACCUCAGGUCAGACAAAGUUUCGGCGGACAGUAGAGUAUGUGCAGAAGGAUUUCCGGCGAAGUCGACGGUGUACAGCCACGGCGCUGUUGGAAACUUGAGGCGCGACGAUGAACCAAAUAACUGCAGACUAUCCCAAAGAGUUAGAACACGAA